GAUGAACGCUAGCGACAGGCCUAACACAUGCAAGUCGAGGGGCAGCAUGGUAUCAGCUUGCUGAUACCGAUGGCGACCGGCGCACGGGUGAGUAACGCGUAUGUAAUCUGCCUGUAACAGAGGGAUAACCCGGAGAAAUCCGGCCUAAUACCUCAUAGCACAUAUUAUUCGCAUGAGUUUUAUGUUAAAGAGACUCGGUUACAGAUGAACAUGCGUUCCAUUAGCUGGUUGGCGGGGUAACGGCCCACCAAGGCAACGAUGGAUAGGGGUUCUGAGAGGAAGGUCCCCCACACUGGUACUGAGACACGGACCAGACUCCUACGGGAGGCAGCAGUGAGGAAUAUUGGUCAAUGGGCGAGAGCCUGAACCAGCCAAGUCGCGUGGAGGAAGACUGCCCUACGGGUUGUAAACUCCUUUACCUGGGAAUAACGGGCGCUACGCGUAGCGCUGUGCAUGUACCGGGAGAA
rnacentral:rRNA from 1 species